AAUACAAAUUUAAAGUCCCAAGAACAAGCUUUUUCCCUCAGCCGAAUGUUGAUGCAGCCGUUGUUACAUUUAAGCUGAAGCAAGCUAUUGACUAUCCCUCAGUUACCUCC